GCGCUCGUAGCUCAACUGGAUAGAGCACUGGACUUCGGAUCCAGGGGUUAGGGGUUCGAAUCCUCUCGGGCGCA
rnacentral:tRNA from 1 species